rnacentral:rRNA from 1 species
UGACGAGUGGCGGACGGGUGAGUAAUGCUUGGGAAUCUGGCUUAUGGAGGGGGAUAACUGUGGGAAACUGCAGCUAAUACCGCGUAUUCUCUGAGGAGGAAAGGGUGGGACCUUAGGGCCACCUGCCAUAAGAUGAGCCCAAGUGGGAUUAGGUAGUUGGUGGGGUAAAGGCCUACCAAGCCUGCGAUCUCUAGCUGGUCUGAGAGGAUGACCAGCCACACUGGAACUGAGACACGGUCCAGACUCCUACGGGAGGCAGCAGUGGGGAAUAUUGCGCAAUGGGGGGAACCCUGACGCAGCCAUGCCGCGUGAAUGAAGAAGGCCUUCGGGUUGUAAAGUUCUUUCGGUAAUGAGGAAGGGAUGUUGUUAAAUAGAUAGCAUCAUUGACGUUAAUUACAGAAGAAGCACCGGCUAACUCCGUGCCAGCAGCCGCGGUAAUACGGAGGGUGCGAGCGUUAAUCGGAAUAACUGGUCGUAAAGGGCACGCAGGCGGACUUUUAAGUGAGAUGUGAAAUCCCCGAGCUUAACUUGGGAACUGCGUUUCAGACUGGGAGUCUAGAGUACUUUAUGGAGGGGUAGAAUUCCACGUGUAGCG